UGGUAGAGCGGCGGUCUCCAAAACCGUAGGCCGAGGGUUCGAGCCCUUCUUCCCCUGCCA
rnacentral:tRNA from 1 species